CCUACGGGUGGCAGCAGUGGGGAAUAUUGCACAAUGGGGGAAACCCUGAUGCAGCGACGCCGCGUGAGUGAAGAAGUAAUUCGUUACGUAAAGCUCUAUCAGCAGGGACGAAACACUUACCUUACGGUCAGCAGACGGUACCUGAGUAAGAAGCCCCGGCUAACUACGUGCCAGCAGCCGCGGUCAUACGUAGGGGGCAAGCGUUAUCCGGAUUUACUGGGUGUAAAGGGAGCGUAGACGGUGCGCCAAGUCUGGAGUGAAAUGCCGCAGCUUAACUGCGGAACUGCUUUGGAAACUGGCGAACUAGAGUGCGGGAGGGGUAAGCGGAAUUCCUAGUGUAGCGGUGAAAUGCGUAGAUAUUAGGAGGAACACAGGUGGCGAAGGCGGCUUACUGGACCGUAACUGACGUUGAGGCUCGAAAGCGUGGGGAGCAAACAGGAGUAGAUACCCCUGUAGUC
rnacentral:rRNA from 1 species